AAUGGAACCGGACCUUCGACUUUGCUCAAGUUAGGGCGAGGUUCUCCUCUUGUCCCUAACAGGGCUGUGGGGGUGCAUAUGGACGUUGUAGGGCCUCUCCCCCCAUCCGGUCUAAAUGGAACCGGACCUUCAACUUUGCUCAUGUCAGGACGAGGUUCUCCUCCUGUUCCUGACAUGGCUGUGGGGGCACAUUAGGGCG
rnacentral:lncRNA from 1 species